rnacentral:rRNA from 1 species
UACGUAGGGUGCGAGCGUUAAUCGGAUUUACUGGGCGUAAAGCGUGCGCAGGCGGCCCGUUAAGACAGGUGUGAAAUCCCUGGGCUCAACCUAGGAAUUGCGCUUGUGACUGGCGGGCUCGAGUACGGUAGAGGGGGGUGGAAUUCCUGGUGUAGCAGUGAAAUGCGUAGAGAUCAGGAGGAACACCGAUGGCGAAGGCAGCCCCCUGGGCCUGUAUUGACGCUCAUGCACGAAAGCGUGGGGAGCAAACAGG